rnacentral:rRNA from 1 species
GACUCUUAGCAUUGGAUCACUCGGCUCAUGCGUUGAUGAAGAACGCAGCUAGCCGUGAGAACUAAUUUGAAUUGCAGGACACAUUGAUCCAGGGGCCACAUCUGUUUGAGGGUCA